rnacentral:rRNA from 1 species
GAUCAUGGCUCAGAACGAACGCUGGCGGCGCGUCUUAAGCAUGCAAGUCGGACGGCAAGAUGAGAGCUUGCUCUCAUCCUAGAGUGGCGGACUGGUGAGUAACACGUGGGUGACGUACCCCCCGGGACGGGGGAUAGCUCCUAGAAAUAGGAGGUAAUACCGGAUACGACCGCAGACGUAGGGGUCUGCGAGGAAAGGAGCUCUGGCUCCGCCCGGGGAACGGCCUGCGGCCCAUUAGCUAGUUGGUGUGGUAACGGCAUACCAAGGCGGCGAUGGGUAUCCGGCCUGAGAGGGUGAACGGACACAUUGGGACUGAGAUACGGCCCAGACUCCUACGGGAGGCAGCAGCUAAGAAUAUUCCGCAAUGGACGAAAGUCUGACGGAGCGAACCGCCGCGUGGAUGAAGAAGGCCGGAAGGUUGUAAAAUCCUUUUAAACGGGAAGAAUAAGUCCUGCAGGGAAUGGCAGGGCGGUGACGGUACCGUUUGAAUAAGCAACGGCUAAUUACGUGCCAGCCGCCGC